rnacentral:lncRNA from 1 species
CUCAUGCCUGUAAUCCUAGCACUUUGGGAGGCCAAGGCAGGUGGAUCACCUGAGGUCAGGAGUUUGACACGAGCCUGGCCAACAUGGGGAAACCCCGUCUCUAGUAAAAACACAAAAAUUAGUCAGGCAUGGUGGUACAAGCCUGUAGGCCCAGCUACUUGGAAGGCUGAGGCAGGAGAAUCACUUUAACCGGGAGGCAGAGGUUGCAGUGAGCCAAUAUCAUGCCACUGCACUCCAGCUUGGGUGACAGAGUGAGACACCAUCUCAAAAAAAGAAAAGAAAAGAAAAGAAAAACAUAUGAUGCCGGGGCAUCUCGGCCUCAAUACCUGCAUGAGCACAGUCAUGUCCAGGCCAGGGCUGCUGGUCGAGGUCCGGCCCCAUCUCUUCCAGCAGAAAGGGAGUAAGCUUGCAGGGAGGCUGGGGGACAAGAUCCCAGGAUCUCAGCCUCUGCUCAUGGAUCAGCUCUGAGACCCCGAGUGAGCUGGGGGUGCUCUGUGCGCAUUGGUUUCCCCAGCUGUCAAGUAAAGGGAUUGGAUGAGGAAGUCUUGUCAAGGUGGAAUGAUCUCAGAUUUGGGGCAGCAGUGAAGGAUCCCGCUCCCUGGGCCAUGCCAGUGGCCCGGCCUCGGCUGAACACAGCCCCAACACUCUGGAAUGGGGAUGAGGGGGCAGUCAGCUCUUGCUCCUAGUAAGAGAGAUGCAACAGGGCUCUGUGGCUGAGCUGGGUGCCUUGCCUCACACUUGUAAUCCCAACCUUUGAGAGGCCGAGGCAGGAGGAUUGCUUGAGGCCGGGAAUUUUGAGAAUAGCCUGGACAACAUAGCCAGACCCCAUGUCUACAAAAUAAUAAGAAAACACACAGCUAUAGUCCAAGCUACUUGGCAGGCUGAGGCAGGAGGGUCCCUUGAGUCCAGGAAUUGGAGGCUGCAUUGAGCUAUAAUCGCACCACUGCACUCCAGCUUGGGUGACAAAGUGAGACCCUGUCUCUAAAAGAAAAAAAAAAUUGGCCUGUGAGCAUGGGUUUGAUCUUCAAACAGGACCUGGAGGGUAGGGACAGACAGUGCUGUCACCCUUAGGUGCUGAACACUCAGAAACGGGCCAGCGGCAGCCCUUCCCUCACCUGCAGACACCAGAUUGGGCAGAACAGCACGUGGCACUUGCAGCUCUUGCAGUGAGGGCAGAACCCAGUGUCAACCCUUCUGCCUGUGGGAGGGGCUGCUGAGGCCUGCGGAGAGGCCAGGGUGGAGGCUCGUCCCCUUGUCCAGCCCUUGGCGUGGUCUCCACCAGGUCCCCAGCCCACCAGUGCAGGGCGCCCCUGAGCCUGCUGCUGCCACGGGCCCUGUCUCUACCCAGGACGUCCCCCCACCCUCGCUGUGUCAGGGAAAUGAUCAUGGUGGCGGUGACACUCCGCAGGCAGGGCUGCUGAGAGAAGCUGAGAAGGGUCACACUGCAGGCAGAGGCCCGUGUGACAAGCCCCUCUCACCCCGAGAGAGCUGACCAGGCAGCUCACGAGCAGAGCCACAUCCCGGGAGUCCGAGAAAGGUCCUGGCUGGGCUCAGCCACCUCAUUGGCCACGGGCAGCCUUUGUCGUGUGAGCCUUGCUCUCCUGGGGAGGCUCAGGCUGACGGCUGAUGUGGGCAUUGCCGAGGGUAACCUGUGGCCCAGUGUAUAUGGCCGGGUCUCCUCAAGCUGCAUUCAUUCAAGUAGGACCCAGGGUGCGUGCCCAUCUCCAGCCCAGGGCAGCUCCCCUGUAAGCUGGGUGAGCUACUGAAGCCAAGGCAGGAGGCAGCUGACAACACCCACGGCCCAUGCAGAGGUGGUGGAAAGGCUGGAGUCAGCAGCAACACCAAAUCCCGGACCAGGCAGAAACCACCCAAGACUGAGGGGCUCGUGCCAGAGCGGUGGCCACAGGUAAGAACCCGGGCCCAGGCUGUGUGGCAGGAAUCCUCCAUGUCCCAGGGCUUAGCAUAGCAAAGGAAGACCAGCCGGGUCACCCUGGUGGCCAUCUGUCCCUGUCCCACCUGCAGAGUCAGAACAGCCUCUCCCCAGUGGGGAUCAUCUCUCUCUGCCAAAGCAACAGCGGUCCCUGCCCCAACCAGACUACCCCACUCAGUGGAGUUACGGAUGCUGCUCCAGCAUCCUAACACUGCCCAGCUGGUGCCUGCCUGUGCUCACCCGCACCCCCCAGGCCGGCCUUCCCUGCAGCCUGGGCUUGGCCACCUUGGCCUGAUUGAGCACUGAGGCCUCCUGGGCACCCAGCCCCAUCACUGCACCUGCUGCUUCCAGCCCCACCCCACAAGCUCAGGGGUUCUUCCCAGCGGCGCUGAUCAUGAAGUCAACAUGCACGCAAGUCGUCUCAGGAAACUUUUUAAUGAAAGUGUUGGCCACGGUGGUGUGUAGGUGGCUGAGCUCAGAUUGCAGCUGCUGAGACACCAGCCACUUACCAAGAGAAAGCCAGGCUGCUUCAAACCCAGGGCCCGCGGCAAAAAAGCAUCACUUCCGGCCGGGGAGUCUGGAAGCCACGCCUUGUGGGAGGUCACACUGGCAUCUAGGCCUUCGCCUGCACUGCAGAAGGAGAGCCGGGUCCCCCUCCUGGAGAACGCUGCGUUCCCCAGCCCCACACCGGCUUUGCCACCACACAGGCUGUUGAGGCAGGAGGCGGGGCUGAAUGGUCACUGAGACAGAGAUGGAAGCCAGGACAGGGGAGCCCACUGGGCCCAGAUAGGUACAGAGAGCAGAGGCUCCUGUUCUGUCCUCACCACCCAUGAGGGUGACACUGCUUGUAAAUGGUGGCUGUGCUCUCCCAGCAAGAAAAAAGCACAACUAAAUCCACACUGCACAAAGACGCAGACAGAAAGCCUUCAAGUGGCUCUGUUUUCUGCUCCCUGCCUCAUCAGGUCCACAAGCAGAGAGGAGUGUCAGGUACAUAUCCCUGCUGUCAGGCUCCCCAGUAAGCUGCGGGCUCAGCAGGAGCUGCCCACUGACACACAGGGGACACCCACUCCUGCCACCUUGGGAGCGGUUGCCAGACAGAGCCGUACUGGGUGCUGGUGUCAUCCAGGGACCCCACACACUUCCUUAAAUGUGAUCCUGCUUCCCUCUGCGCAGCUGCAUCCUCUCCUCCUGCAGGACCGUCUGGAAACUUGGCUCUCAGUUUGCUCUCCCUUCUCUCCUCUGCCUGCCCCAAGCCCCUCUUUCUAAAAAAGUGAUGCCACGUUCAUGGGAUUAUUUCUUGAAAAUACUUGGCGGCCUCCAUGCUUCUGUUUUCUUUGAGUCAGGUAGUCAGGAGGGUUUACAAACAAUGCCUGGGCUCCCCCGCAGGUGCCGGCAGAUGGGGUAGCGAAUGGUCCUGUGCCUCCACCUGCUCCGGGAGGGAGUCUCCCGUCUCUAGGCCUGGCCCCUUCCUAACCCUCCACGUAUCCUGUUCUCCAGAGACUUCAGAACCCACUCCUGAGAACAGCGGAGCCAGGCGCUUAGAGGAAGACCAAAUGCUGCCAGGACACGGAUUGUCCAGGGAUUACAUUCCAGCAUCUUAUUAGGUAUCUGGAUCUGUUGGGGAAAAAAUUAGAAACUAUGUAUAAAACUUACAAAUAUUCAAGUAUCAAAAGGUUAUUUAGGAUGAAAGUUUUAAAACAAGUCAUCAGCAAGCUGCUACCACCAAGUGGAGACUUAUACAAAAGUUGAGCGAGUCCACUGAGCUGAGAGGACAGAAAUGAAGUCACCUGUGCUGGGGCAGGGGCAGGGACACUGGGGGCAGGGAGUGUGUGGGCAGAGAAGCCAGAGAAGUCCAGGCCUGUGGAAGCCAAACAGGAGAGCGUGGGCCGGAAGGGCGGUCAGGAUCGGGGGACGAGGUCGCUCUCCCUGGAGAACGAACCCUAAGGUGCGUAGCCUGGGAUUCCCUCCCUGGAGGUCCUGUCCCCCGACAUUUCACAGGCCUUCUGAGCUGCUUUCCAAGGAGGACUAACACGGCAACAAAAGAACCAUUUCUGCACAAAAAUCCUGGAAAGAAAAAGAAGCAAGCCGAGAAUGGAGUCAAAACGCUACCCAGUGCUGACUAAGCCUCUCAAACCCUGUUCUAAGUGGACUGUGGUUUCUAAGUCAGGGAAAUGGAAGAGGCCCCACCCACACAGGGACAGGGCCACGGCCCCCACAGGAUGAAGCAGCAGCGUUUAUUCAAGAUACAACAGUGAGGGAAUCCGGUCACGUUCCCUUCUCCCCAGAGAGGGCGCAUCUUGACAAGUGAUCGAGUAGAAAUCUUUUAAACUCUAAGUUAAGUUCAUAAAAACCACUGGUUUCACUCUGUCUCCCAGGGCCAGGCCUGGCCUCUGAGAUGCACUGGCUUGGGGCGCCCUCAGGUGGCUGCAUGGAAAACCCACAGUCUGAGGCCAGCCUGGGGCUUUCAGACCUGGGCGGGAUCUGCCCAGGCCACCUGUCCUUCUGCUUUGGGCCGCUGUCUCUUGGCAGAUGGCCUGACACCUGGGGGUGGCCCAAGGAUGCCUCAGAAAAUCUUGAUUCCCACUCUACAGAUAGCCUGAUUAGCCAGAGGUUUCCAGGCCAUCUGUCCGCCUCCAGGAGAUGGACUGGGACCUUUAGACAUCGG